AAAAUAUUCAUUCAAAAUUUUGAAAAUGAAUGAAAAUCAACUAAAUAUCAUGCAAGAUCAUAAACUCUGCAUUAAAUAUUUUAUUUGGGAGAAUUUGAAAACUAUGAGCUUGAGUUUAUAGAGUCUGCAUUAUUGUGUCUAAAACCUUUUUAACGAGUAUCAUUUGCAUUUAUUUAAAUCUCAGUAUGAAUCUGAAUGCAGAGAAAUGAACUCCUGCUUAAAUUGUGUCUUGAUAUAUCAUAGUAAGUUGAAAUGCAAUAUUUAUUCCAACUGUUCAGUUUUGUUAUUUUAUAGAGUAGUCUUUGUUCAGAGAAAUAAUGUUUUUAUCAUUCCUAAGGGUGGCUCAUAUACUGUGGAUGACCCAGUACUGUUGUAAAGGUCUAGUUUUAAAAACUGCCUAAUUUAUAGGUGUUUGAAUCAAACUCUUUUCUAAAUUUUAAUGACCUAUUUGACUCAAAGCAAAAUUUUGCUGAAAGUAUCAGUUUUUAAAUUAUAUAUUUUCUCUGAGGUGCACUAGUCAUUUAAAGAGUGGUUCUUCCUUAUAUUGUUGGGUAUACCAACAUUGUAAUCAUGUGUUUAGAAAUAUUCUUUUCAUGGAGAUAUAUAGGGGGGAAAGUAUGUUGUAAUAUUCAUGUUUGUUCUGCUUUAUUUUUAAGGAAAUUCAGAUCUAAGUUUCCCAAUCACAGUUUUGAUUCUUUGAUAUACUCUUUCUUUCAACUUUCAACCACCGAGAAUCUAUUUUGCAAGAUGGCAGCAUUGACUUAUUUAUAAUUCCUUUACAAGUUUGGAGAAAAGGAGUUUUAUAAAAUUCACAUAAUCCCAAGUACCCCCUCCUCCAAUCCAGAUAAUAAAAACUGGUCAGACUAGUAAUACACACUGACAAAAUAUAUGAUGAAUAAAAAAUACAGUAGUAACCAAAAUUAACUCUAGGGUGUUAGGCAAAGUCUAAAACCCUAAUGAAACUGAAGACUUCUUUUUAUAACAUUGAUAAGGCAUUGAACA
rnacentral:lncRNA from 1 species